rnacentral:rRNA from 1 species
CCUACGAGUGGCAGCAGUGAGGAAUAUUGGUCAAUGGGCGCGAGCCUGAACCAGCCAAGUAGCGUGAAGGAUGACUGCCCUACGGGUUGUAAACUUCUUUUAUAAAGGAAUAAAGUGAGGCACGUGUGCCUUUUUGUAUGUACUUUAUGCAUAAGGAUCGGCUAACUCCGUGCCAGCAGCCGCGGUAAUACGGAGGAUCCGAGCGUUAUCCGGAUUUAUUGGGUUUAAAGGGAGCGUAGAUGGGUUGUUAAGUCAGUUGUGAAAGUUUGCGGCUCAACCGUAAAAUUGCAAUUGAUACUGGCAGUCUUGAGUACAGUUGAGGUAGGCGGAAUUCGUGGUGGAGCGGUGAAAUGCUUAGAUAUCACGAAGAACUCCGAUUGCGAAGGCAGCUUACUAAACUGCAACUGACAUUGAUGCUCGAAAGUGUGGGUAUCAAACAGGAUUAGAUACCCCAGUAGUC